UGGUGAGUCGUAUACAUACUG
rnacentral:miRNA from 1 species